GAUGAACGCUGGUGGCGUGCCUAAUACAUGCAAGUCGAGCGAACAGACGAGGAGCUUGCUCCUCUGACGUUAGCGGCGGACGGGUGAGUAACACGUGGAUAACCUACCUAUAAGACUGGGAUAACUUCGGGAAACCGGAGCUAAUACCGGAUAAUAUAUUGAACCGCAUGGUUCAAUAGUGAAAGACGGUUUUGCUGUCACUUAUAGAUGGAUCCGCGCCGCAUUAGCUAGUUGGUAAGGUAACGGCUUACCAAGGCAACGAUGCGUAGCCGACCUGAGAGGGUGAUCGGCCACACUGGAACUGAGACACGGUCCAGACUCCUACGGGAGGCAGCAGUAGGGAAUCUUCCGCAAUGGGCGAAAGCCUGACGGAGCAACGCCGCGUGAGUGAUGAAGGUCUUCGGAUCGUAAAACUCUGUUAUUUGGGAAGAACAAAUGUGUAAGUAACUAUGCACGUCUUGACGGUACCUAAUCAGAAAGCCACGGCUAACUACGUG
rnacentral:rRNA from 1 species